GAUGAACGCUGGCGGCGUGCCUAAUACAUGCAAGUCGAGCGAACAGACGAGGAGCUUGCUCCUCUGACGUUAGCGGCGGACGGGUGAGUAACACGUGGAUACCCUACCUAUAAGACUGGGAUAACUUCGGGAAACCGGAGCAAAUACCGGAUAAUAUAUUGAACCGCAUGGUUCAAUAGUGAAAGACGGUUUUGCUGUCACUUAUAGAUGGAUCCGCGCCGCAUUAGCUAGUUGGUAAGGUAACGGCUUACCAAGGCAACGAUGCGUAGCCGACCUGAGAGGGUGAUCGGCCACACUGGAACUGAGACACGGUCCAGACUCCUACGGGAGGCAGCAGUAGGGAAUCUUCCGCAAAGGGCGAAAGCCUGACGGAGCAACGCCGCGUGAGUGAUGAAGGUCUUCGGAUCGUAAAACUCUGUUAUUAGGGAAGAACAAAUGUGUAAGUAACUAUGCACGUCUUGACGGUACCUAAUCAGAAAGCCACGGCUAACUACGUG
rnacentral:rRNA from 1 species